UACAGAGGUCUCAAGCGUUGUUCGGAUUCAUUGGGCGUAAAGGGUGCGUAGGUGGCGGGGUAAGUCAGGUGUGAAAUUUCGGAGCUUAACUCCGAAACUGCAUUUGAUACUGCCUUGCUUGAGGACUGGAGAGGAGACUGGAAUUCACGGUGUAGCAGUGAAAUGCGUAGAGAUCGUGAGGAAGACCAGUGGCGAAGGCGGGUCUCUGGACAGUUCCUGACACUGAGGCACGAAGGCCAGGGGAGCAAACGGG
rnacentral:rRNA from 1 species